rnacentral:rRNA from 1 species
GACGAACGCUGGCGGCGUGCUUAACACAUGCAAGUCGAACGGAAAGGCCCUGCUUGCAGGGUGCUCGAGUGGCGAACGGGUGAGUAACACGUGGGUGAUCUGCCCCUUACUUUGGGAUAAGCCUGGGAAACUGGGUCUAAUACUGGAUAGGACCAUGCUGUAGGUGGUGUGGUGGAUAGAUUAGUUUCGGUAAGGGAUGAGCUCGCGGCCUAUCAGCUUGUUGGUGGGGUAAUGGCCUACCAAGGCGUCGACGGGUAGCCGGCCUGAGAGGGUGGACGGCCACAUUGAGACUGAGAUACGGCCCAGAAGCCUACAGGAGGGAGCAGUGGGGGAAAGUGCGAAAUAGGAGCAAGGCGGAUGCAGCGACGGCGCGUGGGGGAUGACGGCCUUCGGGUUGUAAACUCCUUCCAGCCAUGACGAAGCCCUUGUGGUGACGGUAGUGGUAGAAGAAGCACCGGCUAACUACGUG